GACGAACGCUGGCGACGCGCUUAACACAUGCAAGUCGAACGGAAAGGCCUGCUUUCCCUUGUGGAUUGCGGGUACUCGAGUGGCGAACGGGUGAGUAACACGUGAGUGAUCUGCCCCCAACUUGGGUAUAAGCCUGGGAAACUGGGUCUAAUUCCCGAUAGGACUGCAGGGUGGUGCCUGUGGUGGAAAACGAUUUUCUAGUGGUUGGGGAUGAGCUCGCGGCCUAUCAGCUUGUUGGUGGGGUAAUGGCCUACCAAGGCGGCGACGGGUAGCCGGCCUGAGAGGGUGGACGGCCACAUUGGGACUGGGAGACGGCCCAGACUCCUACGGGAGGCAGCAGUGGGGAAUAUUGCACAAUGGGCGGAAGCCUGAUGCAGCGACGCCGCGUGGGGGAUGACGGCCUUCGGGUUGUAAACUCCUUUCGACCGCGAGGAAGCCACCUGGUUGGAAGGGUGGUGACGGUAGUGGUAGAAGAAGCACCGGCUAACUACGUG
rnacentral:rRNA from 1 species